rnacentral:rRNA from 1 species
UACGGAGGGUGCAAGCGUUAUCCGGAUUCACUGGGUUUAAAGGGUGUGUAGGCGGGUCGUUAAGUCAGUGGUGAAAUCUCCGAGCUCAACUUGGAAACUGCCAUUGAUACUAUCGGUCUUGAAUACCGUUGAGGUGGGCGGAAUAUAUCAUGUAGCGGUGAAAUGCAUAGAUAUGAUAUAGAACACCAAUUGCGAAGGCAGCUCACUAAACGGUCAUUGACGCUGAGGCACGAAAGCGUGGGGAUCAAACAGG